UCGGACGAAUCCCAAGCCUGUGGAAAUGGCCAUGGAUGAGUCGGUUCUUUAACAUCCCAUGAGAAUCCAGGCAUCUUUUUUAUCAAAAGAAUUCCUGAAUAUUGAUUUGUUUUCUCAAUUUAUUGGCUAAUUUGUUGGCCCCUGAUGUUGGUAUUCAAAGCUAGUCCGUUGGUAUUAAGGAGUGUGAUUACUUUUUUACCCAUGUUGCCCUAGCCCUAACUCAUCAAAGUAGCAGCAGCAAAAGGGAGAGGCAAGAGAAGCUCUUCUUCUUCUUCAGAUUUCCAAUCUCGUACAGCAAGCUCUCUUCAAAAGCUCUUCUUCUUCUUCAGAUUUUCAAUCUUGUUGGUGUUGCAGGUUUUGGUUGUAGGUGGUGGUGAUGGUGGAGUUCUUAGGGAAAUCUCUCGCCACAAUACUAUUAUAUAAUUCCGAACGCCAUAAUUAAGUGAUCCCAUAGUUAAGCUUGAAGUUGCUCUUAAGAUUUUGUUGAGGGAAUAGUUGAUAUGAUCAAGCGGUUGAUGUUGGGAGCCAAAGAUUAUGUUGCUCCUCUUCUUCUUUUUUUUUUUUUUUUUUUUUUUGAGAA